GGUAUCUGAUGGUGUUCUGGGCCUGGGGCUCAUGGAGCAAGAAGUGGACCGAAAACUAGUAUAAUAAUAAGACCUUCCUAGACUGAGCUGGAGAGGUGUCCAUAGCAGAUACCCUUCCACUCCAGGCCUGGGCCCAACUGACCGUGUCCUGUCUUACAGCUUCUGUUCACAAACCCAGCAUCUACCCCUUGAUCUCCUGCUGCCCGGGGAUGAGUACUUCCUCAGUGGGCUGCCUGGUCAAGGGCUACUUCCCGGAACCAGUAACCGUGACCUGGGACACAGACUCGCCAAAUGUGGCCAUCCAUGCGUUCCCCGCCCUCAACUUCAACUCCAGCUCCCUGAUCAGUGCCAGCCAGAUGAUGGUCUCAGGGUCAAGCUCCAAGCUCUUCAAAUGCAGGGUGAUCCAUGCUGCAUCUUCAUUAGACCAAACAAAGACAUUCAGUGCUUGCUCUUCGAUGCCCUCCGAGCUAACCGUGAAGCUCCUUCAUUCCUCUUGCAACCAAAACAAGUUCCAGCCCACCAUCCAGCUCCACUGCCUGAUUUCUAACUAUAUCCCGGGUGACCUUGAAGUCACUUGGCUGAGGGAUGGGCAGCAGAUCGGUGAAAAGUUCACAGAGAACAGUACACACAGUAAUGCUGGCAUGCUGGCCUCUACCCAAAGAGAGUUCAACAUCACUCAGAGUGACUGGGCAUCUGAGAGCACCUUCACCUGCCAGGUCCUCUCCCAAGGCCGCACCACCAAGGCUCACAUCCGAAAGUGCACAGAUGAGAAUGAGCCACGAGGUGUGCGUGCCUACCUGAUCCCACCCAGUCCCGAAGAUCUUUACGUUGGCACAGAGCCCAAGCUCACCUGCCUGGUGGUGGACCUGGAGAACAAAGAGGGAGUCACUGUGGAGUGGACCCGGGAGAGCGGACGGGCCACAAACCCUGAUGCCUGGAUCCCCACAACACAUGACAACACCACGGUUAGCAUCAAGUCCACGCUGCCCGUGGUCGCGCAGGACUGGAUUGAAGGCGAGAGCUACAAGUGCAGUUUGACUCACCCUGACCUGCCCAAGGCUGUUGUGCGGUUCAUCACCAGGGCCCAAGGCACACGCAUGAAGCCCAAGGUGUAUGUGUUCUUACCAGAAGAGGACAGGUCAGAGGAGGGUCCACAGAACCAGGACAUGCUCUUCCUCACCUGCCUGGUCCAGAACUUCUUCCCCAAGGACAUCUCUGUUCUGUGGCUUCAAAAUGGACAGAAAAUCAACAGCAGCCAGUACAGCACGACAGCCCCCACCAAGACCAAUAGCUCCCCUCCCUCCUUCUUCACUGUCAGCCGUCUGGAGGUCAGCCGGACGGAAUGGAUGAAGAGCAACAAAUUCACCUGCCGGGUGGUCCAUGAGGCACUGCCCCCUCCUAGGACCUUAGAAAAAACCGUGUCCAAGAGUCCUGGUAAAUGAAGCCUCCCUGCCUCCCCAUGCUCCAUCUAUCAAGGAGACCUCUGUCCCUGUUGUAACAACUCUAGGAAGCCACCCAAUAAACACUUGGUGCCCGUUUCAA